ACAACAGUUAGAAAUGACUGCUAAUACCGCAUAUGCCUUAGAAUCACAUGGUUCAAAAGGGAAAGGAGCAAUCCGCUGAUAGAUGGGCUUGCGUCUGAUUAGCUAGUUGGUGGGGUAACGGCCUACCAAGGCGACGAUCAGUAGCCGAACUGAGAGGUUGAACGGCCACAUUGGGACUGAGAUACGGCCCAGACUCCUACGGGAGGCAGCAGUCGGGAAUAUUGCGCAAUGGAGGAAACUCUGACGCAGUGACGCCGCGUGCAGGAAGAGGGUUUUCGGAUUGUAAACUGCUUUAGACAGGGAAGAACAAAGACAGUACCUGUAGAAUAAGCUCCGGCUAACUACGUGCCAGCAGCCGCGGUAAUACGUAGGGAGCGAGCGUUAUCCGGAUUUAUUGGGUGUAAAGGGUGCGUAGACGGGAAGUCAAGUUAGUUGUGAAAUCCCUCGGCUUGACUGAGGAACUGCAACUAAAACUGAUUUUCUUGAGUACUGGAGAGGAAAGUGGAAUUCCUAGUGUAGCGGUGAAAUGCGUAGAUAUUAGGAGGAACACCGGUGGCGAAGGCGACUUUCUGGACAGAAACUGACGUUGAGGCACGAAAGUGUGGGGAGCAAACAGGAUUAGAUACCCUGGUAGUCCACACCGU
rnacentral:rRNA from 1 species